rnacentral:misc_RNA from 1 species
UCAAACUUGGUCAUUUAGAGGAAGUAAAAGUCGUAACAAGGUCUCCGUUGGUGAACCAGCGGAGGGAUCAUUAUAGAGUUAUCAAAACUCCCAACCCAUGUGAACUUACCAAUGUUGCCUCGGCGGGACCUACCCGGUACCUACCCUGGAAUGGCCUACCCUGUAGCGCCUACCCGGGAACGGCCUACCCUGUAGCGGACCGCCGGUGGAUUUUUAAACUCUUGUUUUUUUUAGUGUUCUGAGCGUCUUAUUUUAAAUAAGUCAAAACUUUCAACAACGGAUCUCUUGGUUCUGGCAUCGAUGAAGAACGCAGC